CACACAGUAAGUGCAUACUAACCAUCAUCAGCACACAAUAAGCACAUACUAACCAUCAUCCCCACACACAGUAAGUGCAUACUAACCAUCCCCGCACACAGUAAACACACUAACCAUCAUCUGCACACAGUAAGCACAUACUAACCAUCAUUCCCACACACAAUAAGCACAUACUAACCAUCACCUGCACACAGUAAGCACAUACUAACCAUCAUU
rnacentral:lncRNA from 1 species